rnacentral:lncRNA from 1 species
AAAUCAAACCUGAGAGAUAGAAAAUGCUUGAAGAGAUGGUUGUGGUUGGAUGGUCCUACUGAGGUGGAGGAGUGCAUCUUGUAUGCACAUGUAUGACCAGCUCAACCAAAGGAUUGCCAGACUUCCCCUCCAGCAAACUUCUUUAGUCUACCUGGGUGAAACUGGGUAAAGCAGGGAGGACAGGGCAGUCAGAUUGCAAUGCCUGGAUACUCGUGGUGUGCCAGAGCAGAGAUCUGCUGCAGUGGAGUCUGGCUUGAAGCUGAAACUGCAACUUCUGCCUGCCCUGGAGUGUGCCUUGGUCCCAAGCUCAUGGUGAAGUGAGAUGUUCUGUGGUCUGGAAGCAGAUGGUGAGAGCUUCACCUCCUCUAUCAGCAGGAAAACUUUGGAAGCUGAAGGAUUGGACAAUACCUACCAGGGAGUUUCAGGUUGGCACCACAAAGAUGCCUGUCUGCCUUGGACACAAGGCAAGCUAUCUGAACCCGACAGCAAAGACCACUUUUCCCCUUAAUGCAC